rnacentral:rRNA from 1 species
GAUGAACGCUAGCGGAAGGCUUAAUACAUGCAAGUCGAGCGGUAGGUGGCUUCGGCCAUUGAGAGCGGCGCACGGGUGAGUAACGCGUACAUGACCUGCCUGUCAGAAGGGGAUAGCCCUGGGAAACUGGGAUUAAUACCCUAUGGUAUUGAUAUUAUGAAUGAUAUCAAUUAAAGUUGAGGCGCUGACAGAUGGAUGUGCGUCUGAUUAGCUAGUUGGUAGGGUAACGGCCUACCAAGGCGACGAUCAGUAGGGGGCGUGAGAGCGUGGUCCCCCACACGGGUACUGAGACACGGACCCGACUCCUACGGGAGGCAGCAGUAAGGAAUAUUGGUCAAUGCCCGCAAGGGUGAACCAGCCAUUCCGCGUGGAGGAUGAAGGCCCUAUGGGUUGUAAACUUCUUUUAGAUGGGAAGAAAAUGCUAGAUGUAUCUGGUACUGACGGUACCAUCAGAAUAAGCACCGGCUAACUCCGUGCCAGCGGCCGCGGUAAAGUAGUCG